AUGGGAUCCAUCUUAAAAAAAAAUCAAUGAAAUAUUCUGGUCAUAGGAAACUAUUAUGUGAAUUAUCAAAAGGAUCAAAAGUUAAUCCGCCCUCAGAAAACUGGUUUUAAUAUGUUCGCAGAGUAUACGCAACUGCAAUUAACUUUCCUUGCGUUAGAACCUUGGUGUUAAUAUUCUUCAUCUUAGCAUUAAUAAAUUACUUUUUUUUCUUUAUAAAAUAACUAGCUUGCAUUGUAACAUUGGUUAGAAAUAAAAAAUUGCUCAUUAAAUAUUUGGAGUAUUGACAAACUUCAGGAUCAACAUAUGUUCUUUCAGGGCAAAAUAAGGUUUCUGCUUGUGAAGGAUCAAUGACAAUAGAACAGGACAGCACUAAACACAUCUUUCUCCCAUGGACAAGAGUUAAACAUGGGCUUAGUUUGAAACCAGAAACGGUAACUUUACGGGCAUCAGAUCAGAGUGUUCAAACAACAGACAAUAGACAACAGACAACAUACAGUGAUAACCAGAAAACAAUGGAAUAUGAAGACGAAAUUAUA